rnacentral:rRNA from 1 species
UCGUAACAAGGUCUCCGUUGGUGAACCAGCGGAGGGAUCAUUACUGAGUUUACGCUCUACAACCCUUUGUGAACAUACCUAUAACUGUUGCUUCGGCGGGUAGGGUCUCCGCGACCCUCCCGGCCUCCCGCCUCCGGGCGGGUCGGCGCCCGCCGGAGGAUAACCAAACUCUGAUUUAACGACGUUUCUUCUGAGUGGUACAAGCAAAUAAUCAAAACUUUUAACAACGGAUCUCUUGGUUCUGGCAUCGAUGAAGAACGCAGCGAAAUGCGAUAAGUAAUGUGAAUUGCAGAAUUCAGUGAAUCAUCGAAUCUUUGAACGCACAUUGCGCCCGCCAGCAUUCUGGCGGGCAUGCCUGUUCGAGCGUCAUUUCAACCCUCAAGCUCUGCUUGGUGUUGGGGCCCUACAGCUGAUGUAGGCCCUCAAAGGUAGUGGCGGACCCUCUCGGAGCCUCCUUUGCGUAGUAACUUUACGUCUCGCACUGGGAUCCGGAGGGACUCUUGCCGUAAAACCCCCAAUUUUCCAAAGGUUGACCUCGGAUCAGGUAGGAAUACCCGCUGAACUUAAGCAUAUC